UAGGGAAUCUUCGGCAAUGGACGAAAGUCUGACCGAGCAACGCCGCGUGAGUGAAGAAGGUUUUCGGAUCGUAAAACUCUGUUGUUAGAGAAGAACAAGGACGUUAGUAACUGAACGUCCCCUGACGGUAUCUAACCAGAAAGCCACGGCUAACUACGUGCCAGCAGCCGCGGUAAUACGUAGGUGGCAAGCGUUGUCCGGAAUUACUGGGCGUAAAGCGCACGCAGGCGGUUGAUUGAGUCAGAUGUGAAAUCCCCGGGCUUAACCCGGGAAUUGCAUCUGAUACUGGUCAGCUAGAGUCUUGUAGAGGGGGGUAGAAUUCCAUGUGUAGCGGUGAAAUGCGUAGAGAUGUGGAGGAAUACCGGUGGCGAAGGCGGCCCCCUGGACAAAGACUGACGCUCAGGUGCGAAAGCGUGGGGAGCAAACAGG
rnacentral:rRNA from 1 species